GACGAACGCUGGCGGCGUGCUUAACACAUGCAAGUCGAACGGAAAGGCCCUGCUUUUGUGGGGUGCUCGAGUGGCGAACGGGUGAGUAACACGUGAGUAACCUGCCCUUGACUUUGGGAUAACUUCAGGAAACGGGGGCUAAUACCGGAUAGGAGCUCCUGCUGCAUGGUGGGGGUUGGAAAGUUUCGGCGGUUGGGGAUGGACUCGCGGCUUAUCAGCUUGUUGGUGGGGUAGUCGCAUACCAAGUCAUAGGCGGGUAGCCGGCCUGGGAGGGUGGCCGGGCUCCGGGGGCCUACGGGAGGGCCCAGUCGGCAAGAGGGGACAAUGGGGGAAAGUCUGACACAGGCGGACGGCGUGGGUGACAACGGCCCCGCGGUUGGAAGGCCGGUUUGUGGGGAAAAAACCGCAUCAGCUUAAAACGAAGCGGUUGUGACGGUAACGGAAAAAAAAGCACCGGCUAACUACGUG
rnacentral:rRNA from 1 species